rnacentral:rRNA from 1 species
GGUAAUGCCGGAUGCUCCAGUUGAUCGCAUGGUCUUCUGGGAAAGCUUUCGCGGUAUGGGAUGGGGUCGCGUCCUAUCAGCUUGACGGCGGGGUAACGGCCCACCGUGGCUUCGACGGGUAGCCGGCCUGAGAGGGCGACCGGCCACAUUGGGACUGAGAUACGGCCCAGACUCCUACGGGAGGCAGCAGUGGGGAAUAUUGCACAAUGGGCGCAAGCCUGAUGCAGCGACGCCGCGUGAGGGAUGGAGGCCUUCGGGUUGUAAACCUCUUUUAUCGGGGAGCAAGCGAGAGUGAGUUUACCCGUUGAAUAAGCACCGGCUAACUACGUGCCAGCAGCCGCGGUAAUACGUAGGGUGCAAGCGUUAUCCGGAAUUAUUGGGCGUAAAGGGCUCGUAGGCGGUUCGUCGCGUCCGGUGUGAAAGUCCAUCGCUUAACGGUGGAUCCGCGCCGGGUACGGGCGGGCUUGAGUGCGGUAGGGGAGACUGGAAUUCCCGGUGUAACGGUGGAAUGUGUAGAUAUCGGAAAAUAACAC